AUUUUCUUCAUUUCGGUAUAUUCAGAUAGUUGAGAUCACAGGCUGUUUAAUUCCAUAUGGAGAAACCAUUCGGGAGCUAUAAAUGCAAAGAUGCUUGUUUCCCUCUCCUAACAUAAGGUGGAAAAAAAUGCAGAAUGAGGUUGACUAAUACAAAAAUCGUUCAGUAGAGGACGCAACAAGGUUCAAUUCAUUUAAUAAAGAUAAUUCAUGUGUUUUCACUAAAGCAUUUUAAAAUGCAAACCAUGUUUCUUUAACCUUUUUGUGCAUCUAGCACAAGGUAUCAACUUUCUUCUUUAAGCCUCUCCGAAGCCUCCUUCACGGAGCUCCUUCACACUGACAAAGGUUAGAUAGUAAGCUAUUUACUUUUCUGUGAUUUGUCAAACCUAUUAAAACAACACGAGUUGAUGAAGGCUCUCUUGUGUUUUAUGUGAGUUCAGAUAUUUAAGUGUGAAAUAAAACCAGUGCAGUAUAUCUUUAAUUUCCAUUAAGUUUCAGUGCUUUUUUUGGUGCAUGAGUCUUUAAAACAAGAUAUAACAGAUGUUUAGAGGUAGUAGGAGUGCUCUCCGGGUUUCACAACAACUAAACUGGGACUCUAUUAAGGAAAUUUCCUUUUUUAAUUAACAAGUGAUCACAGAGCUCUAAGACCUUUCAGACUUAAUCAUAAUUAAUUCUCUAUUGUUUUUGCUUUUGACAGGCUUACUGUCCACUUUCCAAAGAAGACAUUGGCCCUUCCUCCAAUUAUUUGUUGAAACAAUUUACUUUCCAGCCUCCCCCCUCCUCCCUUCAUAGUAGGAACUGCUUGGAAAUCUGCUUCAGGUGCCGUCUUGGGUGCUGCUUCCCAACUCUGUUCUAUGGUUGCUGUCUCUUUGGUAUAGAAAACUGCACAGUGCAGGGAUUUAAACACUUUUUUUUCUCCUUGCCCUCUCCAGAAAUUCAAGUCUGUAGCGUGGACCUUCCUAUUAAUAGCGUGCUAGGUGUCCUGCAAACAACUGUAUGAGCAGGAUGGUCCAUCAGACUUCUGAUAAGAAUUACUUCUGAAAAAAGACUGCAGGCUCAGCGUAGUGCUGUCGUUGCAGUGUUAUCAGCACGUCUUGACUGCAAAUGUAAUUUAUAUUUUAAAUGUUGAAAAGAGGAGGUACAAUUGUAUGGAGAUGUGAUGUGGGCAGUCCUGAGCCCUCCUGCAUCGCUUUGGAUGUGCUGGGGCUGAGCUCUGUGCAUUCAGAGCACUAAGGAGAGUCUUGUCCAUGCCUGGUGUUCACAGAAUCCUGCUUUUUGCAGUUCGUUUCCAGUUAUAAGCAAAGCUUAAAACCCAUUUUAACUCAUGCUUUCAUCAGCCACAGAUCACAAUUGAUUUAGUGAUGUUCUCAGGUUCCUGAAGCCACUAGACCAAAAUGUGCAUCUCUACCUCAUAGUCCUUAGAAAGGUCAUCUUCUUAGGGGAAGAAAUGUCUUUGUAGUCCAUGUGUUGCACCAGCACCAACAAAAUCCAUGUGAAUCAUCGUGUGCUUGCACGUUUAGUUUUUAGAGCAAGUUGCACUGGAAAAUUGCAUUGUCAGGGGAUGAGGUGCAGUCCAACCUGAGCAGUUCAGUGGUGUGUUGGGGAACUCAGUAAAAUGGGGAAACUACAAAGAUUGUUUUGUAUAGAUGAACCCUUGCAUUUUUCAUCCUGUCCCCUAUUCUUUCCCUUUUCCUGUUAUUGAAAGGUGGGCCUUCUAAAGUCUUUGAUAGUAGCUCUGAGAUGUAUUUGUCCUGCUGAAUGGAAUGCCAGGCACAGGGGAGAGUUAGAGGGCAGUUUUUUAACUGGAGUUUUAUAUGGCAGAUUUCUGUGAGUUAAGUGAGGUUCCUGCUCUGCUGCAUUGGUGUGUGCACCUAAAAAUAAGGGUAUGUGUAUGUCUUUAAAAUACAGCUUUAAGCUAGGCCCUGAUCUACAGUAAGGACAGCGCUAUGCUAACUUGAACCUCUGAAUAUAGGUGGAUGAGCAUGGUAACGUUUACUUCAGAGGUGCACAUCACAAUGUGGAGUCUAAGUUGUGUUAAAAUCAGGUUUAAUAAAUGAAAAGCAGCGCUGGUCAGGUCAGAAGUUUGCCUUCUCUAAUGCACAGUGCAGCUGUGGAUGCUGAGGAAAGACUCUAAGGACAGGGUGAACACUGAUACCAGUAUGUACUUGAAGAUAGCCACACAGCCUGGUUCAGGCUUUCAGUAUAGCUUUUGUAUCCCAUCUAUUCCAGUCAAAGAGGGGUCUAUGCAAGUUAAACCCUUAAUAGAGCCUUUGUCUAGACAAGCUGCCAUUCCCAGCUGUGACCAUUGCAGUGUUCACCUAUUCAGUGUCACAUACCUGGAGGCUGGGUACCCCCUGUGGAGUGAGAUUUUCAUAGUUCAGCUCCUAGUGAGCAAAUGCCUUUAAGUCACUUUAUUUUUUCUUUUCUCUCUGAUAUCACAAUUCUGUCCUGUCUUAUACCACCACCUAAGGCAUGGCCAAAUACUGUCAUUUAAGUCACCUCUGCUGGACAGUAAGGAAUCUCUCCCCACGUUCCCCCUCCUGAAGUUGCCAUCCUCACUGAUCUCCUUGUUCAGUCACACACUUGGUUCACACAGAGUUGGUUGGGAUAAUACAUACCUGCGCACAGCUUCACAUCUGAUCUGGCCCAGGCAGUUUCUGCCCACAGUGACAUGGGCAGCAUUCACACAAGCUGCUGCCUGGGCUGCAGGGCCUCCUGAGUGGUGGUAGCAGUGGAGGUGUGCACAGCCCAGCUUUUCACUGAUACAUGUGGAUCUGGGAAAAUGCAUGUCUGUGUCCAAAGUAGCAGGAACGUUACAGAAUGACAGCAGCAAGUCUCUGCGUUUUAGGUUAUCUGCAAACACCUAUAGGACUCUCAGUUACUGUUUAACUCCUGUUCUGUGUGCUCUUUGUACGUAAGAACUGAGUCUGCUGUCCUUUAGAAAACUGAGUUUGUUUUCUGACCCGUUGGUACCUUUUUGGUGUGGUGUGAGUGCUGUUUGUCGUUUCCCUCCCUUAUAAGCUGUCUGCAGUGUAUACAUCUUUAGAUCACAGUAGGCUUUCCUUUCUCUUGCACCGAGUUUCUAACACAGUACAGCAGUGCUAAUUCUUUAACUGAGGGAAAAGGAACCAGAAACAGCGCUGCAAUGUUGUUUCCAUUAGUUACAUUAUUAGAAGCACAAGGGUUAGUACCUUUCACCAGGUGUUUAUCUUUUCUGAUGUUAUUUUGAUGUAUGCAUAGAAAAACAUUUUGGUUUCUUUGUCGCUUUGCACCUGAACUAGAAACUGUAACCUAUUUGUGGUACAUAGCAGAGAAGUAUUUUCUUUGCUACUUCUGGUUUAAAGUUCUUUGUGGGAGAGGAAGAAAAGAAAAACUGAGACUUAUUUCCAGUGAAAAGCAAAAUGAGAGGACGGCAGUAUCUGAACUGAGCAUCAUCUCUGCUAAUAGGAGCAAGGACAACAAAAUAGGUUGAAUGGUUCCUUACUCCCUCUGUUUUGGAGAGAGCAAGGGGAAGUGGUAGGCUGAGAAGAGUAAUCUGCAGAUACACCGCUGUGAAUGGCAUUUGCAUUCCUCCUUGUGUGAGGCUGCUAACAGUUCUAAUAGAAAUGUAUUGGAAAUGGAUUUUCUUAACCCAAAAUGAGUAGCAUGCUUGAGUUGCACUGCCGCUGCUGAUUUCUAUCCAAAGAUUUCUGUUUUACAGCUGUGGUAUUAAAAAUUCA
rnacentral:lncRNA from 1 species